AAGGAAGAGGGAGGCACUGCAGAUGUGACUGCUAUGUCACAUGUGUCUCAGUAGGUUGCAGAAAAGAGAGAAGCUAUGUCUAGACUCUGUUUUAAUCUGUGAACAUUUGAAUGAUUAGUAGUCUAACAUA